GAUGAACGCUGGCGGCGUGCCUAAUACAUGCAAGUCGAGCGAACAGACGAGGAGCUUGCUCCUCUGACGUUAGCGGCGGACGGGUGAGUAACACGUGGAUAACCUACCUAUAAGACUGGGAUAACUUCGGGAAGCCGGAGCUAAUACCGUAUAAUCUAUUGAACCGCAUGGUUCAAUAGUGAAAGACGGUUUUGCUGUCACGUAUAGAUGGAUCCGCGCCGCAUUAGCUAGUUGGUAAGGUAACGGCUUACCAAGGCAACGAUGCGUAGCCGACCUGAGUGGGUGAUCGGCCACAUUGGAACGGAGACACGGUCCAGACUCCUACGGGAGGCAGCAGUAGGGAAUGUUCCGCAAUGGGCGAAAGCCUGACGGAGCAACGCCGCGUGAGUGAUGAAGGUCUUCGGAUCGUAAAACUCUGUUAUUAGGGAAGAACAAAUGUGUAAGUAACUAUGCACGUCUUGACGGUACCUAAUCAGAAAGCCACGGCUAACUACGUG
rnacentral:rRNA from 1 species